GGCAAGAAGAAGUCUGGUAGAGAUUCAGAGGGUAGCCAAUCACUGUAGAAAGUCGGCUGAUAAUGAAGCCCAGAGAGCAUUUGGAGCAAUCCGGUAGAUGAAUGGAGGAGCUCAUUAUCGGAGAAGUUCGGAUGGUAUUAUGGAAGCUCGGACGGUCGGGGGAGUUCAGAAAGACGCCACACAAGGUCGGAAGCCGAAAGAGCCCUGGGAGGG
rnacentral:lncRNA from 1 species